UCUAACCACAAACACAGCAAUAGGACUCCCUUGGCCACCCCAGAGGCACUUCCUCCGUGGAAGCUGAGGCCUCCGACUGGACGAGGUUUCUGCCUUGUUGCAAAGGGGGAAGAUCUGCUCCUCUCCUGGAGAACGCACCCAGUCAGCUGGUCAAUUCCGUUCAAACUCCAUCACUGGAUUCGGGAAGUUAUCUAGUGGGGAAUAUCCAUCCGAAAGGCUGUUUGGCUUCUAGACAAUGACUGUAUCUGUCCCAGAGGAUCCUAUUUUCUAGAGACAUUCUGGCUUCAUGGACACCCGUGGCAGCACCCACACAGAAGCAGGCAGGAGAUUCUGACGUUGAACUUGGCUGCAAAGGGCUGAGAGGCAUCAGAGCCAGAAAGCCGGGUCGGUGGAGCCACUUCUUCUGAAAGCCAUUUCUUUGGCCAGGCUCCCUGCUCCUGGAGAGUGAAGGUCAAAGCUGAGGAGGCAUGUGGAGGCGAUAAGCACCGCAGACUCUUGGUUGGAGGAUGGACAUACAGAGCCAGGAAUGCUCCAGACCACCGAGUCACACAUGGGGAUCCUCAUGCUUCUCUGCUCCAAGAUGCUCCUGGGGCAGGGAUUGAGGGCUAAAGGUCAGAAGGAGCUCUGAAUUUGUUCGCAAGACUUCAGGAGCUUCUCCUGGUUAUCAUCUAAAGAGGAAGUCACCACCUUGGGCUAGGAAUGGCAUGUAUGGGGUAUGCUG